rnacentral:rRNA from 1 species
AGCAAAACCGUGAGGUGGAGCAAAUCUCCAAAAAACGUACUCAGUUCGGAUUGUAGGCUGCAACCCGCCUACAUGAAGUCGGAAUUGCUAGUAAUCGUGGAUCAGCAUGCCACGGUGAAUACGUUCCCGGGCCUUGUACACACCGCCCGUCAAACCAUGAGAGUUGGCAACACCCGAAGCCUGUAGCUUAACCGCAAGGAUGGCGCAGUCGAAGGUGGGGUCGAUGAUUAGGGUUAAGUCGUAACAAGGUAUC